rnacentral:lncRNA from 1 species
UCACUCAAAACGAAAUUUCUUCUGUCAAAUAUGCAAGUCAGUAGGCUGUAACAUUCAGUCAUCAAUUGUAAAUCCCAAUAUAUGCUCAUUCGUUUUCAGGCCCUCGUUCAGCCAACAAAAAAAUUAUAUUUUCGGAAAAAGUAUUGUGAAAGUUUGAGUUUAAAUUUGAGAUUUAAAAUUGUUUUUGUGAAAAGUUUCACAUGUGUAAAAAUUAUUUUUCUUAAAUCCUAAUUCCAAUGAUGGCCAAAAGGUGAGAAAUAAAGGAAAUUUCAUUUGGCAUUCUAAUAUAAAUCCAUUCCACAGUAUCCACCACACCACACGAAAUGUUACUAAAUUAUUGAACUGCCUAGUAUUCGUGCAUAAAGUAUGUGCAUAAAGGAGACACAAACUAUCCAUCGUUAAGCAUAUUUACAGACUUAGAUCAAACUGGACACACUGGAUUGAAAUCAAUACAUGAUUCCUAAAGGAUGUGUACACUUUUACUUUAUAUCAAACACGCAAAAUCACUGGAUUAUAACAAAUGGACGAUGAGUCAACUCCAAUUCCUAAAGGAUACGUGUUUAGCCAUAACAUUUGAAUUUAGGGUAUCAAAAUAUUGGUUGAUUGGCUAAGAGAUUUAUUCUCGAUAUUCUAAUCCCAUAUUCAUAUUGCAGACUGAAACGCAAUAAGGAUUUUUAUCGAUACAAUUGAAAGAAAGCUAAACUUCUACACAAUGGUUUUUGUAAGUGUUUCGGGUGGGAGCUUGUAUUAUUAGCUAAAAAAUAACUCCAGUUCCUUUUGCUUAGGUUAUAGUUUAUACAAAUGAAUACUACUCGCAAGGGAAUUGCUGGAAUUAAAUAAAAAUAUAAGAAAUAUAUAAAAUAUAUUCACACGCAAAUAAAAUACUGAAUAAAAUCGAUGACUGAUUGUGAUUUAGAUG